rnacentral:rRNA from 1 species
CACAUGACUCUCGGCAACGGAUAUCUCGGCUCUCGCAUCGAUGAAGAACGUAGCGAAAUGCGAUACCUGGUGUGAAUUGCAGAAUCCCGCGAACCAUCGAGUCUUUGAACGCAAGUUGCGCCUGAGGCCAUCCGGCUGAGGGCACGCCUGCCUGGGCGUCACGC